CCCUACAUUUGCUGACGGUUGUGGAUGAACCUGGUCAUGUCAGAAAAAAAAUUCUUAAGAAUGAAUUGAGCUGCACUUGUUGCUCAACAAGAUAAAGGUCAAACUUCAUUUUGAUUCUCCUUCAUAGAUCAACCAGCCCUACUUGUCCUUGAGAAUGCCGCCGUGGUCCAGGAAGAGAGGAAGAAGAGUAUUUGGAUGUUGUGAACUGUGAAAGGGAGAAGGAAAAAGGUAAGGAAAGAAGGCAAAAAAAGGAAUAAGAAAAGCGGAAGGAAGCCAACGAGGAAGCGAGAGAAAGAAAGUGUGCACCUGCGUGCAUGGUUUCCA
rnacentral:lncRNA from 1 species